UGCCCAGCAACUCCUAUCCCUACCUCCUCGUGGUACUGGUCGGGGUACGAGCAACCUUAGGGAAGA
rnacentral:ribozyme from 1 species